GGCGGGAGCCGGCGGGCGGUGAAGGGAGUGCCACGGCCCGGUAUCGCGGUCUUCCGUGCUCCCUGCCCGGCUGCGGGCAGCAGAACGCUGAGGGCGAACUGCUCCAAGGACGAGGAGGCGGCGGUGUUCGUCCGUGCGCUGGUACACAGCUCUCACAGUGUCUUGGUUACAGAAGUACUUCUCUGCUAAGCAUUCAGCAUUGAGAAGAAUAGAAUGGAGCUGCAUUGAAAAUCAACAGGACUCAAGGUUUAGACUUUACUGUUUCAAACUCUCAAGUUUGGAAAAAAACCACACAAAGUAUCUAGGGCCAAAAAGCUGACAUAAUGGAAUGAAGAUGAGUACGACUCUACCAGUGGAAUGAUUGGGAAAAGGAAGGGACAGCUGCUUCCGUGAGCAAGUACCAGAGCUGAGCUUGUAAAGAGAACUCCCAAACAUAUGGUAAAUGCAAGAAGACAAGAAAA